rnacentral:rRNA from 1 species
UACGUAGGGGGCAAGCGUUGUCCGGAAUCAUUGGGCGUAAAGAGCGUGUAGGCGGUCCGGUAAGUCGGCUGUGAAAGUCCAGGGCUCAACCCUGGGAUGCCGGUCGAUACUGCCGGACUAGAGUUCGGAAGAGGCGAGUGGAAUUCCCGGUGUAGCGGUGAAAUGCGCAGAUAUCGGGAGGAACACCUAUGGCGAAGGCAGCUCG